UCCCGUAGCCAUGGGCGAGCCUGACCAGCCAUGCCGCGUGUUGAGAAGGCCUUCGGGUUGUAAAGCACUUUCAUCCGGGAGGAAGGGGAUAAAGCUAAUACCUUUGCCCCCUGACGUUACCCGCAGAACAAGCACCGGCUUACUCCGUGCCAGCAGCCGCGGUAAUAA
rnacentral:rRNA from 1 species